GGGGGUAUGAUGCAAUUGGUAGACAUCCUCUGCUACCAACAGAGGUCCUGUGGGUUCAAAUCCCAUUACCCUUA
rnacentral:tRNA from 1 species